CUGAAUAGCUGGGACUACAGGU
rnacentral:miRNA from 1 species